AUGACAAACUCCGCAGGAUUUUAAAGCCGUACCACAGGCUGGGGUGCAGAGGGGCGGGAUACACUCCCUGCUGGAGCCCCCUUCUCUCAACUCCCCAUCCCCCAGGCAUCUGCUGAAAGAGAGAGGUCCACUCUGCAGCGGCUGCCUGCCCUCCGUCCGCCUCUCUGCGCUCCCUGCAAAGUCGCCGACCCGCAGGAGGCUGAACCCCAACUUCCUGGGCCGGACCCCUUGGUUCGCCUGUCCCAAGGCCACUUCCACUGGGGCUGCACGGGGGCUGCUGUCCCGGCACGGAAUCUCUUGUAGGACCUCCUCCCCAAUCUUACCCCCGGGGGAGGGUCCCUAAUUCCCAGAGCUGAAGAUAACGCAGGCUCACACAUCCUGCAGAGCCCCCAGUGUAGUAGGUUUAGGUACCGGGAUGCACGGUUGAGCAUCUGACGGCGACACAGCGCAUCCAGAUGCGACGCAAGGUCUUGCCGGGUGGAUCUUGUCGGGUACCCUAAGACAAGAAGCAAUGAACAGUCCUCCUUUCAUGACCACCUGGAAAGCCUACCUGGAGGACACAUUUGAACGAAUGUUAAAACAUGCUUUGUUCUAAGAGGAAAAGUACAUCCUGGUAUCUCACAAACUAUUUAAGAACAUGAAGAUCGCUCCUUGUCAAUUUUAGCUUUGUGACAUUGAAUUUUUAAUAUCAAACCAACAGGGAAAAUUUUUAAGUAAGAGAUAUACAUAACAGCGAAAUAUUGAAAUGAAAACGGAGUUAAGCUUAAAUAGUAUUUGGUCAGGUAUUUGGUCUUUUGGACACCAAAUUAUGCACAAAACAUCUAAAAAGUCGAUGGCAUUUUUUAACUUUUCAAGAAUGUUCUGACAUCAUAGCAAUUUCACAUCUUAUUAAAUUAACUGGAGUGACUCUAAUAUGAUAUUUUACUUCUAUGCAAAUAUUCUCAACCCUUUUAAAAGGGACCACAUAUAAUUCUAAAUAGUAAAAUUAAAUCCCAAGCCUUUUUAAUUUUGUAUACUUUGUUGCUGUAAUCAUCAAUGCUCAAUAAAGUGACACUGUUAUAACUUCCCAAA